AUUUUGAUUGAAAAAGUUCUGGAAAUUUGCAUUAAUAUGCUUAUUCCUAAUUUAGGUAUGGGCAAAGUUUUCCGUGGCUGAAAACUUAGAAUUUCGAGGUGAAAGAACAGGACUUCUGGAGACAUCCAAGGCAUUGCUUAGGAGUAGAUUGAGUGGCAGAAUUACAGAGGAGCAUUAAUCCAGACAUUUAUGCACAUCUUUUACCCAGAGGAAACCAUCAAAUCCUGCAGAGGCACCACCAUUACUGUCUGUAUACGGAGAGUGCUGUGGCUACAGCUGCAGAACAGAACAGUCAUUCGCGUGCAGCAGUCAGUGCAACAAGGGCUUUGCUCUCAUGGACCGUCUCCCCUUCUGUAGACACUGGGCCUGCAGCAGGCAGGAAAGCCUGGCAUUGUUGUCUGUGCAGCACCACGAAACACUCCUAACUCUGAGGUGCCUUACUCUUCCUCUGCCAGAGUGGCUACAGCAAUUCCAAAGGCUGGUAACAUCCCACGCCACCCUACAGAACUGUAGUGCCAACAAUCAAUCCUGGGCCAAAGGCAGCACCAAAAAGCACGGAAAAUCCCAUAAUGAUCUAACUAGCAGCUUGCUGCCCUUUGCACUUUUGAAAAUAACUUCUGUUGAAUUUUAAAACAUUUUCUACAAAAUCAGCUUAACAGUUAAAAACACGGGACCUGAAUGGAUGGUUAGAAACUGUGAUCUAUAUUUGUACAGGUUUCUAUUCACUUUGAUGAAAUGGUAAGAGACGAGUCUCCCACCUCAGAGGAUUUACUGUGAUGUUACUGCCACGUAGCAUAGCUACCUUGUGUAUUUAAAAACCUAAAAAUGUGUAUUUUGUAUUUGUUGCCAAGUUCACAAUUUACUUAGGCUGUAAUACAGUUGCAAUUUAUUAAGGAUUGAAUCUCUGCAUUAAUUUGGUACAAUACCAUUCUAGCUCAUGUUAGAGCAAAAAAAGGAUAAUUGGUAUGUAGAUGCAAAUUUGGGUUUAAUAUCCCAUGCAGCUGUUUACGUCUGCUUAAUUAAGCAGCAGUGACUUCACAUUAGCAUUGCUAUGAAACCGUAAAUACGCACUGGAGAUAAAGGUACAAUCAUGUUAAUCACCUUCCUCAUGUCAAAUCAAUGCCAGAUGGGUACUUUUUGUUUCAGUCUGGUGUUUUAAUGGUAAAGAAAAAAGUCUUCACUUUUAAAGAGGAUCUUCAGGUUCAACACAUUUGGUUUUGAUAUAAGUACCAGGAUUUUAUAAAAAGACUGUGCUCCUGUAGACAGGCAGCUUAAGCAGUAAAUGAAGAGCUCUAAUGGAAACUCCUAACAAAUAUAAUUGGAAGUCAACUGGUUAUUUUGCUUUUGGAGCCUUUACAGGAGUAUCACAGUCCUUUUGUACAGUAAAAGAAUGUAAGUAAAUAUCCAUCUGGAAAAACGCAGGGCUGUUUUAAUACUGAUGAAGUUCUAACACUUGGACUCUGUGGCAUAAGCUCUUUGUUUCAUGUCUUUACCAGCAGUUCUGGCACAGGGCUGCUUGUUUUGCUCUCUGACUAAGGACCCCUGAAGUUCCACAGAUGUAUUUUGAGAGGUAUGUACAACCAGAACAGGCCUUGGAUUAACACAACACAUCAGUAGAACAUAAAAACUGCUCUUCGGUCAGGACUAUCAGAACUAACUGUUAACCAUCAGCAUAAGAACACAACCUCAGUUGGUGCCAUUUUUAAUGAUUAGAAAUAAUACAUUGUAAAACAAAAAGUGAAAAAAUUCCAGCGUGAUACUUAUAAACAAAGAACAAAUAGAAAACAAAAAACUUUCGGUUUUGCCUGAUUUAUAGUAUGUAUCAUACAACAGAUCAUUAGUCUGAGGUAAUACCAGUAUUAAGUCUUUAGUCCUUCAAGGACUGCUCAAAAAUUAAUAACAAUGAUAGCAAUGCAUGUUAUGUUAAAAGUGAGACUUGAUCAUUAAAUCAAGCAAACUCCUUAACCUUUUAGUUAGGGAUCUGUGGUUGCAAGUAUAAAACUGGAAAUAAUUCUACACAGUAGGAACUACAGAACAUCAGAGUCCUGUGUGCCGUGUCUGUAACAGUAAGCUGAGUAUGUAAAAAUCAGACAUUUCAAUACAGUAAAGACUUUGUUCCAGAAUAGCCCUUAAGAAAUUUAGAAUACUGUUAGUUUGCAUAAAAUAGCCAAAAAAACCCCAACUAAUUCAGAAGUCCAAAUUUGGCAUGAGGUAAAACCAUGUGCAUUUAUUUAAUCUGCAUUUUAGAUUUAGUAAGCAUAAAAUUAAGAAUGUUGACUGUAAUGAAUUCAGUCGUACAAGUGCAAAUCUUCAGCUAGAAUGUAUUUUAUGGCAGUUUAUUUAAAAAAUGUACCAGUAAAUCAUAAAAGAGGGAUCAUGUCCAUUUAACGUUUAUUGAAGUAUACAGGAGGUUUUCUUUAGAAUCAAAUAUGAGCAUGAAUAUAUGGCCAAACGUAAAAUCUAUCAAAUUCAGUGAAAAUUUUCUGACUUUAAAUAGUAGCUGUAAGAAUGACCAAUAUAUAUUCUUUGUUACAACCGCCCUCACUCUACAAGUAAAAAAAAAAUAAUAAACAUUCAGUAAACAUUCUUUCCUAA